GCAGAAGUUCCUGGACCAUGGAUAGAACCUGUGCCGUGGCCACCACCCAAGCCUCAGCAGGGACCAUGCUGGAUCCUUAACUUGCUGCACCGCCAGGGAGCUCUGCCCUGCAGCUUUGCUUGGUUUAAGCCCAUCAGGUCAUCUGACCUUUUAGAGAGAAAGUUUGAAGCAGAAGCUCUGAAGCCAGCAGAGGAUACUGGGAAGGAACAUGCAGAAAUGUCAGAGGGGAAUCACAGGGGCAUGAUGUCCUGGAAACUACAGGAGGAAAGUGUACAAGAAAGUUCUCUGGGAGUAAGGUGAGGAGAAAGGAUGAUGUGGCCAGGAUGGGCAUACUGCUUAAGGUGAGCCGCUCAGCUCCCAUAACCAACAACUCCCACAUUUCACCGGCUUAGUUAAUGCUGUAAUAGCUUAUUUCUCAUUUGUGCAAUUUGCAGUUGGCUUGAGGAGCAGGGGUGGUGUGUCCUGCUCCAUAUAGUCCGUGGAGACAUAGCCCUUUUACGCUGUGGCUCUGUAAUACCUCUGCGCUUUGAACUCGAAGCUGAAUCGCCAGCAUCAGGCCUGCAGAUGGUGGAAGAGGAAGGAUCACCGGUGACAGCUUCUUCAUGGACCAGUGUCCUUCACCAACAUUCAACUGGCUAGAGCUUAAUCCCAUUGCGACGCCCAACAGCAAGGGAGGCUGUGACUUGUAGUCUGAAUCAUCCCUAGAAGGUGGUCCACAGGCUGGAGAAGCCCAAGGGAAGAAGGAUGCUGAGUUACGAUGGGUGGUCCUGAUGGUGCAAAGGCAGGGAAUGGACCGAGUAUCCAGGGUGAAUUUCCUGGCCGGAGAGGAGACGAUAACAAGGUUUGGAGUUGUACAUUCUGCAUUUACAAGGUGUAGGGGCUCUGAGCCCCUUACCUUCAUUUUAUUCCUUUAAAAUUCCUCUCCCUGAUAGGUCAGGGCUGAGGGGGAGAUUUCAGAAAUCAAAAAGAUACUAUUUACAGCCUAUUUCAUUUCACACACGUAAUUUCUAGGCUCCGAAGAGAAAAAGAGAAAGGAGAACAAAGGAAAACACUGGUUGACACCACUCCAGAAAAGCUAUCUGACUGAUAUUUGCCAUGAUUGUGUCACAUGGUGAGUUUAGGAGUUCCCAUCAUGGCGCAGUGGUCAACGAAUCCGACUAGGAACCAUGAGGUUGUGGGUUUGAUCCCUGUCCUUGCUCAGUGGGUUAAGGAUCCGGCAUUGCCGUGAGCUGUGGUGUAGGUCGAAGACACAGUUUGGAUCCCGACUUGCUGUGGCUGUGGUGUAGGCUUGCAGCAACAGGUCCAAAUUGACCCCUAGCCUGGGAAUCUCCAUAUGCCACGGGUGCAGCCCUAAAAGGACAAAAGUAAAAAAAAAUUAAAAAAAAAA
rnacentral:lncRNA from 1 species